rnacentral:tRNA from 1 species
GCGCCAAUAGCUCAGUUGGGAGAGCGUCAGACUGAAGAUCUGAAGGUCACCCGUUCAAUCCGGGUUUGGCGCA